rnacentral:rRNA from 1 species
UACAGAGGGUGCGAGCGUUAAUCGGAAUUACUGGGCGUAAAGCGCACGUAGGCGGCUUGGUAUGUCGGGUGUGAAAUCCCCGGGCUCAACCUGGGAACUGCAUCCGAAACUGCCUUGCUAGAGUAUGGGAGAGGGAAGUGGAAUUUCCGGUGUAGCGGUGAAAUGUGUAGAGAUCGGGAGGAACACCGGUGGCGAAGGCGGGUCUCUGGGCAAUUCCUGACGCUGAGGCGCGAAAGCGUGGGGAGCAAACGGG